rnacentral:rRNA from 1 species
CAGCCGCCGCGGUAAGACAGAGGAUGCAAGCGUUAUCCGAAAUGAUUGGGCGUAAAGUGUCUGUAGGUGGCUUUUCAAGUCCGCCGUCAAAUCCCAGGGCUCAACCCUGGACAGGCGGUGGAAACUACCAAGCUGGAGUAUGGUAGGGGCAGAGGGAAUUUCCGGUGGAGCGGUGAAAUGCGUUGAGAUCGGAAAAAACACCAACGACGAAAGCACUCUGCUGGGCCGACACUGACACUUAGAGACGAAAGCUAGGGGAGCAAAUGGGAUUAGAUACCCGCGUAGUCCCUGUCUCUUAUAC